rnacentral:rRNA from 1 species
UGGGGAAUAUUGGACAAUGGGGGGAACCCUGAUCCAGCCAUGCCGCGUGUGUGAAGAAGGCCUUAUGGUUGUAAAGCACUUUAAGCGAGGAGGAGGGUACUGGUAUUAAUACUACCAGGUACUGGACGUUACUCGCAGAAUAAGCACCGGCUAACUCUGUGCCAGCAGCCGAGGUAAUACAGAGGGUGCGAGCGUUAAUCGGAUUUACUGGGCGUAAAGCGUGCGUAGGCGGCUAAUUGAGUCGGAUGUGAAAUCCCCGAGCUUAACUUGGGAAUUGCAUUCGAUACUGGUUAGCUAGAGUGUGGGAGAGGAUGGUAGAAUUCCAGGUGUAGCGGUGAAAUGCGUAGAGAUCUGGAGGAAUACCGAUGGCGAAGGCAGCCAUCUGGCCUAACACUGACGCUGAGGUACGAAAGCAUGGGGAGCAAACAGG